ensembl:lncRNA
GUGACGUUCGGUAUCGAGACUUCGAAGCUUGUGUCGAGUAAUGGAGGGGGCGUUUCCGCGAUGCGCGUAUCGAGGCUUGCUUCAUUUAUGGGAGGAGCUGAAAAUGAUGACGUCCGAAGCCUCGCUGCCCGGCUGUACCACGUGACUGGUUCAUGAAGUGGUUCGAACUUUGCCGCGAGCUAUGACAGCGAUAUAAACCCCUCAGACUUCAUUCAAAAUGUGGGUGUUUGAUGGAGAGUUGCGGUUAGUGAGAGUUUGGAGACAGUUUGGAGACAGUUUGGAGGUUUAUGAGCGUGAGGUGAGAAAGUCAGAAGAGAAUGGAACCAGCUAAGAAGAGGAGGAUGUCCUCCCCUGUGUGGGAACAUUUUGAUUUUAUUCCUCCCAACAAGGCGAAGUGUUUGCUAUGUGCCAGGGAGCUGGGAUAUAACAUCCAUGCUUAGGCACUACAGAGCUUUGCAUGAGAAUAAGGGGAACACCGAUUGUGGAGCAAUACCAGGAGAACAAUCUCAAAUAGAUGAAGACCUGGUUAGCAUGGUGAUUGAGGACUCCCAGCCAUUUAGCAUUGUGGAGGACAAACGAUUUAAAAGACUUGUUAAAUCGUUAAAUCCUAGCUAUGUUCUCCCCACUAAAAGGCCAUAAAAGCAGUGAAAAUUUAGUUUUUACAGAAUAAAAUGUGAACAGGCAACACUGAGGCCUCAGUGUGUAGCUGUCCAUACCUCAACGUUACAAAAGCACAACUACUGUCCACACCCCAAUCACACCUCACAGUAAAUGAUCAUUUUCCAU